CCUACGGGAGGCAGCAGUGAGGAAUAUUGGUCAAUGGUCGGGAGACUGAACCAGCCAAGCCGCGUGAGGGAUGAAGGUACAGAGUAUCGUAAACAUCUUUUGUCAGGGAACAAAGGCGGGGACGUGUCCCCGGAUGAGUGUACCUGAAGAAAAAGCAUCGGCUAACUCCGUGCCAGCAGCCGCGGUAAUACGGAGGAUGCGAGCGUUAUCCGGAUUUAGUGGGUGUAAAGGGUGCGCAGGCGGUCUGUUAAGUCAGCGGUCAAAGCCCGGGGCUCAACCCCGGCCCGCCGUUGAAACUGGCAGUCUCGAGUGGGAGAGAGGUAUGCGGAAUGCGCGGUGUAGCGGUGAAAUGCAUAGAUAUCGCGCAGAACUCCGAUUGCGAAGGCAGCAUGCCGGCUCCACACUGACGCUGAGGCACGAAAGCGUGGGUAUCGAACAGGAUUAGAUACCCCAGUAGUC
rnacentral:rRNA from 1 species